CCCUUAGAUGUCCGGGGCUGCACGCGCGCUACACUGUAGAAAGCAGCGUGCUUUAAAACCUUUCCUGAAAAGGAUGGGUAACCCCAGCAAAAUUCUACGUGCUUGGGAUAGAGAUUUGCAAUUUUCACUCUUGAACGAGGAAUUCCCAGUAAGUGCGAGUCAUCAGCUCGCGUUGAUUACGUCCCUGCCCUUUGUACACACCGCCCGUCGCUACUACCGAUUGGGAAAAUUUUAGAGAGUCCUGGACUGAUGAUUGUUCGGCUUCACGGCCUUACUUUCGUCGGGAAAGAAUUCGAUAAUAUUUUUCUAGAGGAAGUAAAAGUCGUAACA
rnacentral:rRNA from 1 species